rnacentral:rRNA from 1 species
AGAGCGAACGUUUGCGGCGGGCCUAACACAUGCAAGUCGAACGGGCAGGGGUAACCCUGUCAGUGGCGCACGGGUGCGUAACACGUGGGUAAUCGACCCUUUGGACUGGGACAACCCGGGGAAACUCGGGCUAAUACCGGAUGUGGCAUGGUGGUCUUCGGACUGUCAUGCGAAAGCUCCGCAAGGGGCACCAGAGGACGAGCCCGCGUCCCAUCAGCUAGUUGGUGAGGUAAUGGCUCACCAAGGCUAAGACGGGUAGCUGGUCUGAGAGGAUGAUCAGCCACACUGGAACUGAGACACGGUCCAGACUCCUACGGGAGCAGCAGUGGGAAUAUGCGCAAUGGACGAAAGUC